GCAGUGGGAGCUGCUCUGCACGUGUCUGAACAAGGCUCCCCCGGGGAAGAGAGCGAACGUACGCGCAGGAGCUGGGCCAAAAGCAGACGCAGGGCGCUGGCAGGCCCGGCUGAGCUGACUCACCGGCCGGGCUCCCUUCCCUGAGCCAGCGGCAGCGCGGCACCUCCACACGGCGGUGACCCAGCAGGGACCCCGUGGGGGGACAGGGUCCUGUCCUGCCCGGCCCUGGCGCUGCUCUGGUGCUGAGCCCCCCGCGUCACCACAGAGCAGGCAGGGGCCGGAGAAGGGACUCUGCUGCCCGCCAGCACCGCUCCAGGGAGCCAGGGCGGACGGUGCCUCUCCCCAUGGCAGCCAGGCCCCCACAUAACGCCAGCCAAACUGGACACUCCGGUCCCCCGAGAGACC